GAUGAAGAACGUAGCGAAUGCGAUAAGUAAUGUGAAUUGCAGAAUUCAGUGAAUCAUCGAAUCUUUGAACGCACAUUGCGCCCCUUGGUAUUCCGAGGGGCAUGCCUGUUCGAGCGUCAUUAUAACCCCUCAAGCUCAGCUUGGUGUUGGGGCCUGCUGCACUGGCAGCCCUUAAAAUCAGUGGCGGCGCCAUCUGGCUCUAAGCGUAGUAAUUCUUCUCGCUAUGGAGUCCUGGUGGAUGCUUGCCAUCAACCCCCAAUUUUUCUAUGGUUGACCUCGGAUCAGGUAGGGAUACCCGCUGAACUUAAGCAUAUCAAUAAGCGGAGGA
rnacentral:misc_RNA from 1 species